rnacentral:lncRNA from 10 species
CAUGAUGGCACGUGCCUGUAGUCCAAGCUACUUGGGAGGCUGAGUUGGGAGGAUCACUUGAGCCCAGGAGGUUGAGGCUGCAGUGAGCCAUUAUCAUGUUACUGCACUCCAGCCUGGGCGACAGAGUGAGACCCUGUUUCAAAAAAAGAAAUACAUUUGAAAUUAAUUUAGGCAAUUGUUGUUCAACCUGUGGUUAAAAGUAUGACAGUUAACUUAAAAUUAUUAGGUUGACUUAAAAAUAUUGUUGACUUAAAAUUAUUUCGUAUUCAAACAGGAAUGACUGUGAUAAAUAUGUUUUUCGUAUGCAAAAAUAUCAUAAAAGUAAUGGUGGUAUUGUCUGGGGCAACAUCAAGAAAAAAUUAGUUGAAACUGAUUUCUCAACUCCAACACCAAGAAGGAAAACCCCAUUUAACACAGACUUAGGAGAAAACUCUGGUAUUGGAAAACUUUUCACUAAUGCUGUGGAAUCUUUAGAUGAAGAAGAGAAAGAUUAUUAUUUUUCGAACUCUGAUUCUGCAUAGUAAAAUGAGAAAAUAUGAUUCCUGGGAUUUUUACCAUAAAGCAGACAGUGUUUGUAUUUUCAACUGGAGUACAUGUAUUUUCUUUGUAAAGUAGCUUCCUAUGAAAAUGUGGACUUUUUUGAAGGUUUCAUAUGUUUGUGUUCAAAGUAAAAUAUCCUCAUUGCUGCAGCUUACUAAAAAUGUAAAGAAAAUUGUUUUUGCUCGUGUAGAUAUCUGUAAAUUUGUUUUUGCAUAUUAAAAUAUAUAUAGAUAAUUUUUUAAUAAGCAUCCAA